AACUGAUAAGAGCUUUUGUAGAUUUUAGUAAUGAUGUCCCUGAAUACCAAGUGAGCUGCAUCUAAAGAGACCCACAGGAAUUAAUAAAAAUGUCUCCAAUUUCAUGGCCGCAGUGGUUUCCUGCUUUUGAGAGAUCACAAAAGAAAAUCACUGAAUGCCACAAUUUAAUUAUGUAUUUCAGGGUGUCUCUGGAUGUAUUGCUCCUUUUUGGAAAUUCUGCAUCCCCAUUCUGGUCCCUCUCUUUGUCUUUCCCCAUCAUUCCACGUCACGCUUUCAUUUUUCUUUUACUUUCUCUCAGCACUCAUUUCCAUUUCUUUUCCUCUUUUUUUUUUCUUAUUUCAAAUUUCUCAUUCAGAUCUCAUCCCCUGUCCUUUCUGUCUUGCCCGGCCCCCUCCUUUUUUUGUACCCUUGUGUUCUCUUUUAUAUUGCUGCCUCUCUCCACCAGUGCUCUGAUUCAUUCCUCCUCUGCUUCACUCUUUUACAUGGGCAGGUGGCAGAGCAGCUGGCCUACUAUGGCCAUGUGUCAGAGACAGUAAUCACAGAGGAGAUGUUUGACGCCGCUGUGCAAUUUGGCACAGUGCAGGGUGACCCCACCCAGAGCUGAGCAAGACGACCUGUUUGGAUAGCCCCCCGGUUGCCCCAAGCACCGACUGGGAAAGGAGCAUCAAGGACGGCUCACCUCACACCUCAACGGCCUCGCAGGUGGGCUCCUCAGGGGAAGAGGGGGAGACGGUUGGCUGUCAAAUGACACGAGGCGGCAGAUCUACAAAAGAUGAGUAAUGAGAUCAUUCGCCUGUGCUUCCAAAGCAUCUCCCUGGACAAGAUCUUUAAGGGCUAUGUGAUCCCCAGCAAGCAAAACCUCAGCAAUUUCAUCCAGCGAUUCCACUCCUGGAAGGAAAGUUACCUGCACGCCUCACAGGUUUACCGCAAGUAAAACUACUGGCUGAAGACACAACUCUGGCCAGGAAUCCAAGGCCCAAAGCCACCGCGGUCAGGGUUGUUAGCCUGGUUACAAACAGGGGAAAGGUGGUCACUUGGAAGAACAAGCAGCCAAAACGUAUCAAUCCUGCAUCUUCCUCAAAAAGGUUUGCUACCAACCUUUUCAGGCCUGACUUCGUUCGAGGCUGGGUCUCCACAUCACAUCCUGGGAGCUGGAACUUCCCCAAAACUGGUCCAGUUUCCUUGUCAGGGGCACAGAGAGUCUCCAGUCCAGUGUUUGUUUUCCUGCCUUCCAGCACAUCCACUCACAUCCCAAUAAGAAUGAGUCCUCCCUCCAACAUCCUCAGUUUACUUUAAAAGCAAAACCAGGCCAGGUUAAAAAUCUUCUCCAUUAAAAUGUGCACACUUCAUCCUGGAUCUUCGAGGCUUCCCUGCUUCAUCAGUGUCCUACUAAAAAAAUAACGACAACCCCUACUUCCUGUUUCCUCUCCCCUUUAUAGAGAAGGGCUCCAAUCCUCCCCAAUCAGCUGCUCCCUGUAUUCAACUCCAAAUAGCUGGCAGCUGGACUAGAGUAGAAUCUCCACUCCCACAUGGGUGUGGCCCACACCUCACAUCAAACACAAAAAAAACACCAAAGCAUGCAAUUAAUACAAAACAAAAUCUAAAGAAAUGCCAACCCAAAAGCUUAGUGGGGGAUUCUCUCCAUCCUUUUCCACCAUGCUAUACUCUGUAACAGUACCGUUAAGAAAUUAUGCUUGCCCUGCUGGCCACUAACUUCCUCUCCACACUGAAAAGAUUGAUAAUGCAGCACUAACUAUGUGUACAUAGUAAUCUCACUUUGAUUAUUUGAACAUUGUCGUUAUUCAUAACGUUAAACUUCUAAACUUUAUGUCAAGCUGACUGUUCAGAACACACCUGUAUGUUAACAAGUUCUGGAAAAGCUAGAUGGUUAUGUUAAGCAUUUUUUUCAGAGAGUGUGUUGCUGUGAAUUUUGGGAUAACAUUACUUCCCUCCAGAUUAGAUGGUUCGGUGUAUCUUUUGGAAAAGGAGGUAAGAAAGGAGGUGUUGAAGCACCUUUUCACAGUGUUUAAAUCUUUUUAUGGCCACCACUCAGAUACUUCCUUCACCCAUUUAAGCCACAGUCACACAGGCCUGUCAGUAGCUAUCGCCUGGCAACCACCGUUGCUUGGUAAAAAUGUUUAUUCCCUGACCGGUAAGCAAAUGGUUGCUGGAAGGUGCCCGCUGUCGCUAGGUGAAAUUUGUUACAAAGUGGUAAAUGGUGCUACACUUUUUACAAGUCAACUCGUCUCUUUCCAUGUAAGCCAUGGUUGACUGUGGCAAUGAAAGUAAUCAGUGCUGCACCCUCUGUGUGGCCGAUUUCCCCAACUGACAGCCAGCAACCUCCAGCAACCUCCAGCAACAAUUUGCCUACCAUUUAGGGAAUACAAUUGGGCUGGAGACGUCCCAUGUGACUGAAGACUUAGCAAAAUUCUUUAAAAGCAAGAUGUGGACACAAAUCGUUACUCGGAACCAAGAUUGUUCAAGAAUUUCAUUAAACAGUUGAAAAUGAAAUGUUUUUAACUACCUGACAUGGAAAAGCCACACCAAAAUAGGGUGUACAUAGGGUACCACCAUGUUCAGCUAUAGGCUGAGCUAAACACAUUUUGUUAAUUUGCCCUCGCUAAUCCUACUCAUCUGUUUUUAUUUAGAUGAAUUUUGAUUCUACUUUGUUUCACCCUGGAUUCACCAAAGUCCGUCUCUCCCUCUUUCAGCCUCCCAUUUCCACUGUGAGCAGCAACUAUAAACUUUUGUGUCUUCAGGAUUACCUUUCCAUCACGGGAUGAAUGAAGUGUGAAAAGCAAUCUGAGAAUCGCCAGGCCACUUCUGCGGAUGCAAUUAUGCCAAUGGCAGAUCAUUUUCUGACCUUUAUCCUCCAGCCAGUGUUGAUGGCAGUUUGCCACUGUGACAGACUGCUUUUUGUUUUCAUGUAUUUUACAGUUGUGUGACAGCUGAAAACCUGGCUCUUAAAGGCUGAGGUGCUCAUCCGUUUGAAAGACAGCCUGACUUUUUGUGCUGCUCUUUUUCUUUCGCUCUCUAUUUACUUAUGUUGUGUAUGUCCCUGUCAGUGUAACAUUCUCAUUAUUUCUUUACUGCCACUUCUGUCUCCUUCCCUCUCUCUCUUCCUCUGUAUUUUUUGUCCCAUUUCUCUCUUUCUGUCUCCGUAUUACGUGUAUUUCUAUCAGGUAUUUUCCAAAGUCUGUGUCCAGGACCAAACCAGUGUUUUUGUUCUGGCUGAUGCCUUCAUUCAAAGGUUCACGGUCCUGCUUCAGGUAAAUUGCUCCUUCUGACAAACAACCACGAGCACAGAUACAGACACACACCUUUGAACGUAGUGUUGUAGUCCAGUUUCUCAAUUCUGCAGGUUUGUGCUUUUCCAUCCAUUUCAUCUUGUUGUCAAGCUGGUUUUGUCACGUGUUGUAUUUUUGCAUUUGCACAUAGUCCUGUUUACCUGUGCUCAUAUGUUUUUGCUAUUUUGCAAACUGGUGAGCUGUCAUCUCUCAUGGAAUACAUAGUCUGUCUCAUUUGUGAAGAUUUCCUGCAUUAUUUUUUUUUAAAUUCCUGUUUCCCUUUUCCUCCUCAAUUAAAAUCAAAAUACAAA
ensembl:lncRNA